CGGAUCGAGUCUGNAACCCGACUCCGUGAAGCUGGAUUCGCUAGUAAUCGCGCAUCAGCCAUGGCGCGGUGAAUACGUUCCCGGGCCUUGUACACACCGCCCGUCAAGCCAUGGAAGCCGGGGGCGCUUGAAGUGCGUUGCCGCAAGGCGCGCCCUAGAGCGAAACCGGUGACUGGGGCUAAGUCGUAACAAGGUAAC
rnacentral:rRNA from 1 species